GCCCUAUCAUACUUUGGACGGUAAUGUAGUGGAUUACGGUGGUGAUGACGGGUAACGGAGAAUAGGGUUUGAUUCCGGAGAGGGAGCAUGAGAAAUGGCUACCACUUCCAAGGAAGGCAGCAGGCGCGUAAAUUACCCAAUCCUAAAACAGGGAGGUAGUGACGAUAAAUAACAAUGAUUCAAUGAUAACAAAGUUGAAUUAAUUGGAAUGAGAACAAUAUAAAUCCCCUUAUCGAGUAACAAUUUCAGGGCAAGUUCUGGUGCCAGCAGCCGCGGUAAUUCCAGCUGAAAAAGCGUAUACGAAUAUUGUUGCAGUUAAAACGCUCGUAGUUGGAAUAAAAAGAGAAAGAGAGAGAGAAAACAAUGUUUUUCAAUCUUUAUUCUAUUUUUUAAUUUUAUAUAUCUCCUAAAAAAAGAUAUAUAGUGUUUACUUUGAAUAAAUUAGAGUGCUUUAAGCAGAU
rnacentral:rRNA from 1 species